GCGGACGGCCACGAAAACAGCUGUGAGCGCUCAGGUAAAAUGUCAUGAAUGAUCAGCCGUCUCACAGACGCCGUGCAGUGUGUAACUUCUCAGAGAGACAUCACAGCUGGAACACAUCAGUCCAGACAAAGAAUAUGGAAGAGGACACUGCUAACAACAUCUAGAGCGCACCUCACCAACCAUCAAAGUCUAAACAUCUUGUGGCCAACAGUACUACGAAAUCAUCUGCAACUAAUCAGAUUACACACUUACAGAAGACAUGGCAACAACCAUCAAAGUCCAAACAUCUUUUGAAGGCCAACAAUGCUAUGAAAUCAUCAGCAACUGAACAGAUAAAUCUCCACCAUCUUAGUAGUAUUGUUUGUUAGAGCAUUAUCUAUGUUUUAUCCCCUUAAUAACCUGCUGACUGGGUCAUGAAAACCCUUUAUAAUGUCAAUACAUAUCCAGUGUACAUGGCAACAAAUGUAGAAGAGAAAUAUCAUUACUUAAGUGACAUUUAAAGUGCCAACAGACUCUCCUUUGUGAUUUCAUCUGUUCUGUUUGUACUUUUUAUACGAAGUCCCCAUAAAGCAGGUUUGGCUGGGAGUUUGUUUGUGUGUGUGUGUGUGUGUGUGUGUGUGUGUAAGGAAGUCUUAUGAUGGUUGAGGAGACAUUUUAAUGUAGAACAGUGUCCCCAGAAGUGACUUAAACCUGAACUUUGUUAAACGUUUCUAAAAGGAUUUUGAAAUGUUAAUUAAUUAGAGAAAUGCAUUUUUUUAAUUACAUUUACAUUUAGUCAUUUGGCAGACGCUCUUAUCCAGAGCGACUUACAUUUUUAUCCCAUUACACAUCUGAGCAGUUGAGGGUUAAGGGCCUUGCUCAAGGGCCCAACAGUGGCAACUUGGUGGUUGUGGGGUUUGAACCUGAGAACUUCCGAACCGUAGUCCAAUGCCUUAACCACUGAGCUACCCCUGACCCCAUAUAUGUUUUGUGUUGUAUAUUCCUCUUUAGUAUGCACUAAAUGUUUUUAAAUUGUCUUUGUAUUUCCAUCUGCUCUGUUAUUAGUUUUUUAUACAAUAAAACUAACCAAAGAUAACAUUUUCAUUCAUACAGUACGUUAUGACAUUUGUUCUGCAGAUAUUAAAGUAUGUUGUCCUUGUAAUUAUUUAUGUUUCUUAAAUAUUUCUAGGUCUACUUCAACUGUUAUUGUCUAAAUUUCUGAAAGCAAAUGUUUCUAA